rfam:Ictidomys tridecemlineatus contig059895, whole genome shotgun sequence.
GGGGCUGUAGCUCAGUGGUAGAGCGCCUGCCUUGCACAUGUGAAGCACUGGUUUCAAUCCUCAGCACCA